AUGGACAUCUCGUCGUUCGUCACGUCGCUUCUGACGUCCUUCGUCAUCUUCGCCGUGCUGGUCCUGGUGUUCACGUGGCUCUCGCGCCGCCCGGGGAACGCGCCGGUGUACUACCCGAGCGUGCUGCUGCGGGGGCUCGACCCGUGGGAGGGGCGCGGGCGGGGCACGCGCAGCCCCGUCGGCUGGAUCCGCCAAGCGUUCGCGGCGUCCGAGGCCGACGUCGUUGCCGCCAGCGGAGUCGACGCCGCCGUCUACCUCGUCUUCCUCUCAUCCGUUUUGGCAAUCCUUGCGUUUUCCGGGAUUGUGUUGCUUCCAGUUCUGUUACCAGUUGCUGGAACUGAUCAUGCCCUGGAGGAUUCUACUGGCAGAGUGCCGCGGAAUGUCACAGAUUUUGAAAGAUUAGCAUUGGGCAAUGUUCAAGACGGAAGUGCGAGGCUGUGGGCAUUUAUAUUUGCAGUCUAUUGGGUCUCCUUUGUCACCUAUUUCAUACUAUGGAGAUCCUACAAGCAUGUUUCAAAUCUGAGAGCAGCGGCAAGAUCAACAUCAGACGUUAAACCAGAGGAGUUUGCCAUGUUGGUGAGAGAUGUUCCUGUUCCACCUCCUAAUCAAACUAUAAAGGACUCGGUGGACUCGUAUUUCCGAGCACUUCAUCCUGACACAUUCUACAAAGCAAUGGUUGUGACAGACAUCACGAAGGCUGAUAAAAUUUUCCAAGAGAUUGAAGGUCACAAACACAAAAUUGCUCAUGCUGAAGCUGUCUAUGCAGAGUCAAAAAUAGCAAACAGACCUGAGGGCACGAGGCCUACUCAUAGGACGGGAUUCCUUGGCCUUAUCGGUAAAAAGGUUGACACGCUUGAGUAUUGUAAUGAGAAGAUUAAGGAAUUGCUGCCCAAACUGGAGGAUGAACAGAAGAGCACCCUUAGUGAGAAACAGCAAAGGGCGGCCUUUGUCUUCUUCAACAGCAGAGCUGCCGCUGCCUCUGCAUCUCAGACUCUCCAUGCUCAGAUGUUUGAUGAAUGGACAGUUACAGAAGCUCCUGAACCACGUGCUGUAAUAUGGACCAAUCUUCCAAGGAAAAUAUAUGAUAGGCAAACCAGACAGACUGUGGUCUACCUCAUUGUCUUCGUCACCGUGGUUUUUUAUAUGAUUCCCAUUACUGCUAUCUCUGCUGUUACAACGCUGGAACAACUGAGGAAGAAGCUGCCCUUUCUGAAGGUGGUUGUGGACCAACCUUUACUUAAGACAGUCUUACAAGCUUACCUGCCACAGAUCGCCCUCAUUGUUUUCCUUGCUUUGCUGCCAACACUUCUUGUGUUCCUGUCAAAGUCAGAAGGAAUUCCUUCACAGAGCCAUGUAGUAAGGGCAUCAUCAGGAAAAUAUUUCUACUUUAUUGUCUUCAAUGUAUUCAUUGGCUAUGCAAUUGGUUCCUCAUUGUUCAGCGCUUUGCAAAAAGUCAUCGAGAACCCUACUGGGAUUGUUACGACGCUUGGCUCCAGGCUUCCUGGAAAUGCAACUUUCUUCCUCACAUUUGUUGCACUGAAAUUCUUUGUUGGAUAUGGGCUUGAGCUCUCUCGUUUGGUCCCCCUCAUCAUUUUCCACCUGAAAAGAAAGUACCUAUGCAAGACAGAGGAUGAGGUGAGAGCGGCAUGGGCUCCAGGAGACCUGGGGUAUAACACGCGGGUUCCGAAUGACUUGCUUAUCGUGACACUUGUGAUGUGCUACUCCGUCAUCGCGCCUUUGAUUUUGCCAUUUGGCGUUGCUUACUUUGCUCUGGGUUGGCUUAUAGCAAAAAACCAGGUGAGCAAGAUUUUUAUUUACGAAAAUGUUCUGAGAGUUUAUGUUCCUAUUUAUGAGAGCAACGGACGAAUGUGGCCACACAUGCACACAAGGAUCAUUGCAGCUCUCAUGAUUUACCAGGCAACCAUGCUUGGUAUCAUCGGCCUGAAGAGGUUCUACUAUUCUACUAUCCUUGCCCCACUCCUCGCAAUAAGCUUAAUCUUUGCCUACACUUGCCAUACACGCUUUUAUCCUGCAUUCGCCAAAACCCCUCUUGAGGUGGCAAGUCAGCAGCUGAAAGAGACGCCGAACAUGAGCACCAUUUACACCGCUUACAUCCCUGCUUGCCUCAAGCCCGAGAAGCUCGAAGAUGUGGAAGUCUUUGAAGACGCGCAGUCACGCACCACCUCCAGAGCUCCCUCUUUUUAA
rnacentral:rRNA from 1 species